rnacentral:rRNA from 1 species
AUUGAACGCUAGCGGGAUGCUUUACACAUGCAAGUCGAACGAGUGGCGGACGGGUGAGUAAUGUAUCGGAACGUGCCCAGUAGCGGGGGAUAACUACUGGAAAGAGUGGCUAAUACCGCAUACUAUCGGAGCGGCCGAUAUCGGAUUAGCUAGUUGGUGGGGUAAAGGCUCACCAAGGCAACGAUCCGUAGCUGGUCUGAGAGGAAGACCAGCCCAACUGGGACUGGCACACGGCCCAGACUCCUACGGGAGGCAGCCGGGGGGAAUUUUGGAAAAAGGGGGAAACCCUGAUCCAGCCAUCGCGGGUGGAUGGGAAGGCCUUCGGGGUGUAAAGUACUUUUGGUAGGGAAGCGGUAUCUGCCGAAUAAGCACCCGCUAACUACGGGCCAGCAGCCGCGGUAAUUC